CGAAUAGGGGCAACCCUUAGUAGAGCGGCGCACGGGUGCGUAACACGUGGAUAAUCUGCCUGAGUGCUCGGGAUAACCAGUCGAAAGAUUGGCUAAUACCGGAUAAGCCCACGGUUUCUUCGGAGACUGAGGGAAAAGGUGGCCUCUGUAUACAAGCUAUCACAUUCAGAUGAGUCCGCGGCCCAUCAGCUAGUUGGCGGGGUAAUGGCCCACCAAGGCAACGACGGGUAGCUGGUCUGAGAGGACGAUCAGCCACACUGGAACUGAGACACGGUCCAGACUCCUACGGGAGGCAGCAGUGGGGAAUUUUGCGCAAUGGGCGAAAGCCUGACGCAGCAACGCCGCGUGUGUGAUGAAGGUCUUUGGAUUGUAAAGCACUUUCGACCGGGAAGAAAACCCGUUGGCUAACAUCCAACGGCUUGACGGUACCGGGAGAAGAAGCACCGGCUAACUCUGUGCCAGCAGCCGCGGUAAUACAGAGGGUGCAAGCGUUGUUCGGAAUUAUUGGGCGUAAAGCGCGUGUAGGCGGCGUGACAAGUCGGGUGUGAAAGCCCUCAGCUCAACUGAGGAAGUGCGCCCGAAACUGUUGUGCUUGAGUGCCGGAGAGGGUGGCGGAAUUCCCCAAGUAGAGGUGAAAUUCGUAGAUAUGGGGAGGAACACCGGUGGCGAAGGCGGCCACCUGGACGGUAACUGACGCUGAGACGCGAAAGCGUGGGGA
rnacentral:rRNA from 6 species